rnacentral:lncRNA from 1 species
GGAAUGAGCUGCGUGCUGCCAGGGGACUUUACUGGAGCCUGAGAACAAAUCCAAAUGCUGAUGGAGGUGGAGGGAAGAGAGGAGCACACCCUUCUUCAGGACCCCUCUGGAAUUCCUGGAUUGAGAUGUACUAUCUGCACCAUUUCCCCUGCUCUGAAGGCAUUUUGGUUGUGAGAACCAAAUUUCCUUUAUCAUUUAAGUUAGUUUGAAUCAUGACACUUGCAACCAAAAUCUUCUAAGUGCUACACGACCUCAAUCACAAGGAUUACACCGUAUUCUGGUUGUUGGAGUGUUUUCUAGAAGGAUGCUACCUCUUAGGGUAAGGGCUCACACAUCUGAUUUAACUUGUAUCCACAAUCCCUAACAGAGCUCAUGGCAUAUAAUAGAAGCUUAAUACAUAAUGGAUUGAAGGAAUGCAACUAUAAUAUUUAUUUUGUCCCAGUAAUAUUGAUCUUUUCUGGUAUCAUGAAUGCUUUUUUAAAGAAUAUAAGUGGGGUGGGGGGGCUUGGGAUUUAGGUCAGUAGAGGACUUUCCUAAUGUGUGUGAAGCCCUGGAUUUGAUCCCCAGCACAACGACUAACUAAAUAACUAAAUUUUUAAAGUGGGUUAAGAAUUUUUUUUUCAUGCAGAGAAAAAAACAGAUCAAAAAUUUCAAAAAAAAUUAAUUAAAUAUAUUUUCUCAGGAAUCAAUAAAAAGGGGUGGUUACCUAAGAAAGCUAUGUUAUUUAAAGCUGUCCUGUUAAAAGUAUAUCUUAGCAGUGCACAGAGGUGCACAUCUGUAAUCCCAGCUGCUGUGGAGGCUGAGGCAGGAGGAUUGCAAGUUGGAGGACAGCAAUUUAGAAUUUAUUUCAAAAUAAAAUAAAAAGGACUGGGGAUAUAGCUCACGGGUAGAGGCUUGGGCUUUGAUACCUGAUCCCUGGGGCCACACACACACACAAAAGUAACAUAUCUCCUUAGACACUAACAAAGCUGAAAGUUUAAUAAAAGUAUAGUUACAUUAUAGAAACCUAAACUCUACCAUAUUAUAAUAUAGUGGGAAAUUUUUUUACUUCUAAAAAUAGAAUCUCUAUAAAAUGAAAACAUGGCAAAGAGAAAAUGUGAUUGUGUUGAUAAUAUUUUAUCUUGAUUAAACUUAAAUGAAUCACCAUGAAUAAUUUUGAUCCUAUUGAUUAAAAACUAGCAAAAGAAAUGUUUAUUCAA